rnacentral:misc_RNA from 1 species
UACUGUCACAAAAUCUGUCAUUUAUGGAGGAAUGAUGAUGGCUGUUCCUUAUUUUUACACUUUCUAUAUGUGAAUAAUAAUAAUACAAGUACAUUGAACAUUUGUGGUUUGCUAACUUAGUUUCUCAGGUGUUUUUGAACAAAGAUAAAAAUUAGCUAUCAGAUUUGUAUCCCUGCAACUGCCUCCUCACAAGUGCUGUAUAGAUCCCAUUCUUGUUCAGAAGGUCAUCAUGUGUGCCACUUUCCACUAUUUGACCAUCCGAAAUAACAGCUACAGUGUUCGCGCUCUUGACUGUUGAAAGCCUGUGAGCUAUGACAAGAACGGUU